UGGCUUUAUUCAGCAACUCUCUUAUACUGCUUUGUCUCAGCUGCUUGAGCCGGCUGCUCCCAUGCACAGCUGCGUGGCCAGCUCUCCCUUCAGGGUCAGCAGCUUAACCCUCUCUCUGGGCAUGAGUGUGCCUGUAUAGUGUCAGCAGGGCAAUUAUAUCUUACAGACAAUAGUGGCUUAGAACCAAGUGAUGAGCCUUCUCACGUUAUGGCUACAUGGCUGUGAUAACAAGUGGAGUUAUACACCGGGGCUCUAAACUCAGAGUCACACAGGAUGUUUACCUUGGCCUAUACCCACUUGGCCACAGCACAGCCAUGUUCCUUACAACUGGGCUUAUGUGGGACCAGAAAACAUGGACAGGAUCUCUUCCUUUGAGUAAGGUGGAGUCAGCUCAGCUGCUCACUGUCACCUGACCCAUAUGGUCAGGUUAAAGCACUGGGCUCCAUCCCCUCCUGCCUAUCCCCAAUAUCCAGUGCAUAGCCUGCCCUCAGUGAGGCCUUUCCAGCUUCCAUUAGGACAGAUGUUUGUCUCUGCUGAACCCCAUCUCUUCACCCCACAUUUGACAUUGACUGCCCUCUAGCCUCUGUCUUGGCAUCUAUUUGGUACACAUUUACCCCUCGACAUAGCCGCACCCCAAUCUUCACAGGAAAAAAACAUCUUCAUCACAUUUGCAUCUCCAACCAGUGGCUAAUGUAGUACUUAUAUAUUAAGGUAUUGAAUGAGUGGUUAAACAUCUCCUGUCCUUUCUUCCUCAAGACUGGAAGGACUUCCUGUAGAAUUCAGCCUAAAUAUUUCUUUCUCAGGGAAGCUGCCCCUGAUGAAAAUAGGAGAGUUCCCUGACCCCCCACUUGCAGGAUGUGCGAAAGGGGUGUGUUUCAUCUGUUUGGCCACAGUGUGCACUCAAACCCCUUACAGGAGUGGGAGCAUGCACACUGGCAGGUACAGGAGCCGGGAUGAGUGCUCUUGGGCUCCAGCCCCAUGGUAGCAUCUAGGAGUGGGUGCCUACGACUCCCAAAGCCCCAGCGGGCAUGCUACAGUGCUCUUUUAGUUCUGCCAUCCACAGACAGCUUAAGUGUUAACCAGCUCAGUGCCCUCUUGGUACCCAGGUUCUUGUCCAACAUCCAGGAAAACUGGGUCACACACAGACUUGAAAGAUGGUGAAUGCGGGGGUUUACUGAGUGGUGGAGAUGGCUUUCAGUGGGAUAGAUGGGGAGCUGCAAAGGGGAUGGAGCGGGAAGGUGACCUUACCCUGGAGUAUGGCCAUCCACCAGCAAAUCUCCCUUCCAACCAUCCCCAGCUGAACUCUUCUUGACGUUCAGAUGCUUCUCUUUUCUCCUUCUCUGCUCUUUUGGCACUCUUCUGCUUUUCUGUUCAUCUGUUCAUGGAGACUGGGGUUUGGAAUUUAUAUGCGUACAGGACAGGGGGCAUGGCAGGCCAAAAGUCAACUUUUGGGUGCAAAAACAGGAAUGCCUAUUCCCAUUUAGGGCCAUGGGUUUCCAGGCUUGAGGGUGGUCUUUUGCUGGGAAAGCACCCUCUUCUACCCAGUACUUCCCUGUCUCCUGUCUGUAUCAUUAUCAGACACUAUCAUACCAUUCAGUAACUUUUCUUACCAUUAUCACAGCCAUUUGUGUCAUUAUUUCCUCAUGUUUGCCUGCAUUGCCAGAUGGCAUAUUCCCUGAGGGCAACGGUGGCCUCCCUUUUGGCUCACUCUCCAUCUUUCCUGCCUAGAGAACUGUUACUCAGUAGCCAUUCUAAUGAAUUUGACUUAAGAAAAAUCUUGCUCACCUUACCAUAGAGCUGUUUCUCUUCCAGCUAUCUCUGUGUUUUUGAAGUGGUGAAGUAUGCUGGAAGUCAUGGGGUGAUCAUUCUCCCCUAAGGUAAAAGCAGACGCUCCUGCUUUGAGAAGCAACUAGUAAGAAUCUAGGUCCUUGUCCAUAUUCCUCAUCAACAAGGUCCUGAGCCACAGUCUGGGGACCCCACCUCGCUUUCAUGCCUCAGAUCCAGUUAGAAAAAUCCUUCUUGCUUUCCAAUGUUCCUUCUUCACGAGAGAGAGAUCCAUACAAACCCACAUCCUUUUUCUCCCUCUUUGUCCACUUGACCCUUUUGGCAUAAAUGUCUCAUGAUGAGAUGGGUUAUAACUCCAAACCCACAGAGAUGGUAAUGUGAGUUAUAAAUUCCUCCCAGAACUGUGCCUGAGAGGGCGGCUUCCCAAAACUGUCAGAUCUGAGGCUAGUUGAGGGAAGAUGGUGAGAGCUAGACUUCAUAGAAUAUGCAGAUUUUCCCAAAAGCCAGAAUCACUAGGGAAGAAAUGACAUCAACUUCCCAUAAACGCUUCCAGAGAUUUUUCAAAAUAAUGAGUACUUCGUAACUCAUUUUAUAAGGUCAGCAUAAUGUUGAUAUCAAAACCUUUUCAUAGUUCUGGAGGCUAGGAAGUCUGAGAUAGAGGCACUGGCAAGUUCCCUUGUCUGAUGAGAGCUGCUUUCCAAGAUGGUACCUUGAUGCUCUGUCCUCCAGAGGGGAGAAAUGCUGAGCCCCUACACGGUAGAAGGUGGAAAGGCAAGGGGGCUGAAUGCUGUAUGAAGCCUCUUUUAUAAAGGCCUUAAUUCCAUCACAAGGGAGAAGCCCUCAU
rnacentral:lncRNA from 1 species